ACCUAUCACACUUCAGUCC
rnacentral:miRNA from 2 species